rnacentral:lncRNA from 1 species
CUGAAUGUACACAUAAUAUUGUGCUUUUUGGUAGCUCUGCGGUCAUAAGAAAAUCGGAUGUGUCAGCCAGUGCCUUCUGGGUCCUGGCUCCGUUUUCCCGUGUAGGCUUUUCCCUGGCUCCACUUGUGAGCCUGCUGGUGCCUCGCCAGGCCAGACUCCCAUGGUAGAGUCAUUAUCAGUAAAAUCAGUUCAUCGUAGUGAUUACUGUAAACGAGACUGUGUCCUGCCAGUUAACCCUGUCCUGGCAGGAAAGAAUCCUCAUCCUCUAGAACAUCCCGUGAAUCUCAUUUUGAGUUAUUUAUCCAAAGGAGGUUGAGAUCUGAGGUUCUGACCCCUCCCACUGUAUGAUCUAUGUAGAUGUGUGGUGUCAGUGCAGAUGUGGGGCAAAUACUAAACCACCUUGAUGUUCAGACACAUUUUGGCCGAAGACAUUUUGGAAGUGGAGCCCUGGAGCUGAAUGCUGCUCAGGGGUAGAGGUGUCAGAGUUCACCAUUCCCAGAAAGGGCCGUGAGGCUUGAAGUCAUCACAGGACGAAUGCCUGCCCUCUGGUCAGCCGUGUUUCUCCCCA